rnacentral:sRNA from 1 species
CUUCCUCGAUCUGCUGCGGGCAGAUGAAGUGGAUAUGGGCAUCCAUGCCGCCGGCCGUGAGAAUUUUGCCUUCGCCGGCGAUAACCUCUGUCGAUGGUCCGACGAUGAUCGUCACACCCGGCUGCGUGUCCGGAUUGCCGGCCUUGCCGAUCCCGGCGAUCCGGCCGUUCUUCAGGCCGACAUCGGCCUUGACGAUCCCCCAGUGAUCGACGACCAGCGCGUUGGUGAUCACCGUAUCGACCGCGCCCUCGGCACGGGUCGCCUGGCUCUGGCCCAUGCCGUCGCGGAUG